CUCGCCCGCUUCUCCUGCGGCUACCGCCCCCGGGGCGAGCCGAGGUGGUAAUGGAGUCUUUGUCGAAUACAAGUGAAAAAUGAACAAUUACGGCUUGAGUCCGCACUGUGCACGCACACGUGCCCGUCAGAGGAGGGGCAGCCAGACCCUGAACUAAUGUGUGGCCGCCGGGGACUCCACCGCGGUUCACAGGCGUGAUGGGCGCGCGGCGCCAGGGUCCCGGCUCAGCCGGGCGGAGGGCGGGUCGGGGCGGGGAAGAGUGACGCGAUCCUCCGCGCCCGCCCGCAGUCUGCACGUGGACGCGGGGCUGCUGGGGGCCGGGACUGCGCUUCGCAGAGCACAACGAUCCACCGUGUGCCUCGGCGCCCUCGGAGGUGCUGGUCACCCAGAUCCCGUGGGACGGUGCAGCUGCCCUCGGCUUGAGCAACUUCAGCGCUGGGUUACCAAGACACACCAGCUUCAGGCUGCUGAUCUUUCUGGAAAGUUUUUUAACUGUGGAGGAGAAAGGAAGCGUCUUAGUUUUAGAAGCUGGACCUGCCUCGAGGGCAAGGCAAAAAGGUGGAGGGGACUGGAGGAAAAUAUAAGGUCCUAAGGGCUUCUGAACCCCAGCCAGGUCAGCCCAGAAUGGCUUCAGCCAACAUGCCCCACGGAAGGGAAGACGCGGCAAGGGCAUCGUGGCCCAGAGGACCUCGGGAAGGUGCUGCCCAAACUCCACACGCCAGUUCUCCGUACAAGUCACCAGUCCAGUGCCUGGACCAGAGGAGCACAUGAGCUCUGCUUUUGGAAGCUCUGCCAGGGUGGAGAGGUCAGGACAGCAGAGAGCCCUGGGCCUUGGUGGCAGCGGAGGCACCUUGAGAGGUGAAUACUUCCUGAGUCCCGGGGACUUUGCUUGAUGCUGAGCUGGUUUCAGAACAGCCACAGAGACCUUGCAGCCUCCUGAGGGGAGGGGCCCCAGGUACAAAACCAUUGUGUAAAGAACAAUCAGAUUAAUUGUAAUUGGCAUCUGGUCGAUCGCCUGGAGAAUCCCAUGGACAGAAGAGCCUGGCAGGCUGUACAGUUCACGGGGUCACAAGAGUCGGACAUGACUUAGCAACUAAACCAC